GGCAAGGCCAGGUAGGACUCCAAUAUCCCAGCGGCUGCGGCUCCUGCUGUUUCAUCUUCCCCACCCCCGAGUCCCCAGAACUUGGGCUCCCCAGGUGGCUCAGGGGGAAAGAAUCCACCUCCAAUGCCAGAGACGCGGGAGACCUUGGUUCAGUCCCCGGGUCAGUAAGAUCCCCUGGAGGAGGAAAUGCACCCCACUCCAGAAUUCUUCCCUGGUAAAUCCUAUGGACAGAGGAGUCGCAAAGAGUCAGACACGAUGGAGCACAGCUUGGCAGCAGCAUGCCUCUAGAACAAGCGCUCCUUGCUGGCAGGGAGUUUGUCUGCUCUGCUUGCCUCCUAACACCUGGAGCCUAGAGCAGACCCUGGUGUAUGAGACCUUCAGGAAACACAUAUAAAUAUCUGCUGGACAGAAGCCUGGGGCCAAGCACGAUGCCUGCACCCUUCUCCAGCACCUCUCAGAGCAUCGCGCACCGCGGAGGCCCUCAACAAACGGGCAAGAGUGAGUGAGUCGAAGUUUCCGAAAAGACAUCCUCAGCUUUCUCCCUAGACCUGUGUCCAGAC
ensembl:lncRNA